GAAUUAUGAAAAUCAACAUGGAUGGAAUGUUGAAUUCUACACUAGGCUUCGGCCAUGUCUUACCUGGAAAUGAUAAUUUUCAUGUCAUUAAUGUAUCCAAUAUUUUGUUUGAAUUUUAGGGUUUGGGUUUUAGUUGUUUGAAAUCACUCUAUGAAAUUGGAGAACUAAAGAAGAAUGAGAAUGAUAAGAUAGUCGCAUAAAUAUAUGAUACAUUGUGAGUAACUCAGCUGUUAGAGAUACCGAAGUUUCAGUAUAUUGUGGAAGAGUUAGGAAUGUUUGGCCUAGAAAUGUUUUUGUUUUAUUAGGAUAUGUGUCGUUGUUUGUUCACUACUUGGAGUCUUAGAAGCUUAUGAAUCAUUAAAACGAUUAGACGAACAUUGUAGCUAGGUAGGUUUGUAUAUGACUUUUUAUUUGAGGUUUGUAAUCAUCUUUGGUCUUAGAAGUAAGGACCAAAGUAUUGAGUUAAUGAACGUAGUCAUUCCCAUCAUUUUCAAAUAUUGUGAGAUACAAUGUUUUGUUUAAUGCUAACAGAAUUCAAGGUUCGUCGCCAGAAACCAGAAGUCUCUCAAAAAUUCACAAGAGAUACUUAAAGAGAUGUGUGAGAUUUUAAGUUCGAAAUAUAUGGAGCAGUCGAUCACACGAUUUAUUUUUAGUCUUCUGUAAUCCGUUUUUGACUUCUUUUGUGAUGCUUAUAGCAAGGGCUCAACCUCUUAAUUCGAUAAUGCCUACAAUAAGUGCUCUCUUAAGUUAAUUGAAGGUUUAUUUGAGUUAUUGGGGUUUGAAAGUGUUAUGGUGAACCAAAUGGCCCAGCUAGCCCAAAAUUAUCAAAGCUAUGUUGCAGGUUCACAGGAUUCUAUAAUGGGGACCCCUCCUGUCCCAAAGAAUGAUGAAGGGCCAGUUGUUACAACACCGUUGAAUGCUCCACAAAUUUCAGCACCUCCACCUAUGUUGCCGAUGCAAAGCUCCAACACACACACGCCCAUCCCGACAACGUUGUCACCAGUACAAAAUUCAGUACCUCCUCAGAAUUUCCUAGUGAAAAAUUCAUCACGACCCUUGGUAUUGGUGAUACAAAAUUCACCAGUGCCUUGACCGAUGUUUCUGGUAAAAAAUUCAGCGUCUCCACCAAUGUUUAUGAUACAAAUCUUAGCAUCUCAGUUCAGCGCCUCUACCAUUGCUACCUAUACAAAAUUAAUCACCGCCAUUAACGUUUCCAGCCCCGUUAAGUUAUUUCACUCUUUGAAGAAGCAGUACCACUUAGUAUCAUACACUAACACUGUAUGUUUUCUCCCCCUGCCAUUUUAUAAAGGUACAUUUGUACUCGGUUGUUUUUAUAUAUACUCUUGCAGUUCAAGGUCGAGUUACUCAGCAAGUUGCACACUUUGUAACGCAAAUACCUUCGUUGUUUGGUACAGUGGUAGACAUUCCUGUUGUUACUCCAGUAUUAACAACACUUUUCAGAGUCGGUUGGGGUUAUAGCUCAAACAUGAAUCUAUGGGACAUAAUAAUGUCACUGCAUCAAUCAAAGAGUUUUCUUUGAAUUCCUUCCAGUGGCCAAGGUCUAGCGUUUUCUUUGAAUUUCUUUACUGAUCAUUUACUGAUCAAUUAAAGAUUUUUCCUAAGGAUUGAUUGUUAUUAUAAAAAAAGCUUAGUUUAUUUUGCAUCUUUAAUAUACCGACUAAAGAAAAAGUUUAUCUUACUUUGAAGCCUCUCAUAUUCCUCCUUUAUUUUGGCAACUUUCAAGUUCCAACUGCACUCCCAAGAAAACAAAGGCACCAUCUUCGUGUAUGGACCCAAGAAGAAGAGUAAAUGAUUGUCCAAAGGAGUAAUAUUAAUCUGCUCAUCAGAUUGUGCAUCUCACGAUGUAGGCCAAGCCUAGACGGUCCACUCAUCUACAGUGAUGGUACAAAACCAUAUACGGUAUGCCAAAACGAUUCCAAGUGAUGGUACAAAACCAUAUACGAUCCGCCAAAACGAGGCCAAACUUUGGAGUUUCUUAAAUCGACAAAAUUUGAAAGCUUUUACUGAAAACAGCUAUCCGAAGAACCAAAAUUAUAUCACAAAAGUCAUUCAAAUUAUCGAAAUUGAAGAGGUGGGGUCGACCGGAAGAUUGGCCGAAAUUGAAGAAAUUUUAGGAAACCUCGAGUUACAAAUUCUGCAAACAAACCCGAGUUCUUAGUGAAAUUGGAA